GUCUUUUGGUAGAACGAAGCAGCAAAAAGCCAUGAAAGUGGUAGAAGUUUUGAGCAUAGCACCAAGCUCUGAAUCGAAAGAGUUACCGACAGAGGCAUCUUUCGCCCUCACCUUCUUCGACAUAUUAUGGCUAAGGUUACCCCCUGUUCAACGUGUCUUCUUCUAUGAAUUUCAUCAUCCAACUGAUGUUUUUUUUGAUACCCUUCUUCCCAAACUCAAACGCUCUCUCUCUCUUGCACUUGGCCACUUUUUCCCUCUUGCUGGACACCUCACUUGGCCCACUCACUCCAUCAAACCCCUCAUCGUUUACAAUCAAGGUGAUACUCUUUCACUCACUGUAGCCGAAUCUGACGCCGAUUUCAACCAUCUUGCAGGCACAGAUUUCACUGAAGCUACAGAAACUCAUCCUUUUGUACCUCCCUUGAACAUAUCCCACGAACAAACUACUCUUUUUGCCCUGCAAGUUACUCUCUUUCCAAACGCUGGAUUUGCCAUUGGAAUAACCUCCCACCAUGCUGUUCUUGAUGGCAAAGCUUCAACAACGUUUGUCAAAUCGUGGGCAUAUCUCGGCAGAGAAGCACAACCACCCUUUUCUUUGCCAGCUGAAUGGACUCCUUUCUUUGAUAGGGAAAUAGUUCAAGACCCCACAAAAAUAGGAGAAAAGUAUUCCCUUGGCUGGUUAAAUAUGGGUGGUCCCAACAACAGAAGCCUCAAGGUUAGCGAGAUGCCUGUUCCAGAAGAAGCAACCAGAGGCUUGUUUCAUUUGUCUAGCUCAGGUAUUGAAAAGCUGAAGCAGAUUGUGCAGAGUAAAGAGAAUAACACCAACCUUCACUUGUCAACUUUUGUGCUAGCUGCCGCCUAUUCGAUGGUAUGCAGAGUGAAAGCAGAAGGUGGCCAAAGUACAAGUACUGGUUUCGGUCUGAAUGUUGAUUGCAGGCGUCAGCUGGAGCCUCCUGUUCCUCCAACAUAUUUAGGGAACUGUGUUGGUAUCACUGUUGCAAUUACUGAAACAAAAGACUUGUUGGGGGAGGAUGGACUUAUUGUGGCUGUGAAAGCACUGAGUGAAGCUUUGGGAACAUUGAAGAAGGAAGGUUUUCUGCAUGAAGCAGAAUACUGGUGGAAGAUGGUGUAUGAAAGUUACAAAGUUGGUGACACAAAGACAGCUGCUUUUGCAGGGUCACCGAGGUUUGAUAUUUACAGUAGUGAUUUUGGUUGGGGAAAACCAAAGAAGGUGGAGAUGGUGUCUAUUGACAGAACUGCAGCGUUUUGUUUUUCAGAUAGCAGAACAGGUGACGGAAUUGAAAUUGGUUUCGUGACCAAGAAAAAAGCUAUGGAAACCUUUGCUUCUCUCUUUGAAGAUGGCCUUCAAUCUUGAGUCCCUAUCCUACCAGUUUCGGUAGAUCUUGUGCUUUUCAGAAAUAAGACUCUCCAUCAUUUGGUAGCUUAUUGUAAUCUGAAAUGUUGUGUCGAUUUCCAAUGAUGAAAUAAAUCAUUUGACAUCCUUGUAUUAGCAACAUAGGUAUUGAUUAUCCCCAUGUUUGGGUAGAUCAUUUCUCUUUUCAGGAAUAAAAGUCUGGCAAAACUUUUUAUCUCUUAUACUCUAUCAUUUGGCAACUUAUUAUCAUCUGAAAAAUGCUGUCUUGGUGUGCAAUAGUAAAAUAAAUCAUUCCACUAUCAUGUAUUAGCAUUAGUGUUGGUUAUCCCCAUAUUAUUUUGUUAAUGUGAAGUGGUAAGCUAUAGGUGAAGUCUUUUGGUAAAUGUUGGGAGGAAAUGUGGAGGAAAGUGGAAGGUAUGAAAAAGAAAAGUAAGAGUUAUGAAAAGUGUUAAAAAGGUAAGAAAGAAACAGGGUGCGAACGAGGACAGGGACUAAAAGAAUGAACGAAUAAUGUGACCUUACAAAAAAUGACUCGUUAGAUUUUGAGAAAGAUUGAUUAGAAAGGAAGGUGUGUUAUGUUGACUGAAUUAUUUGGUGGAACUGGAACCAUUGUUUCUUGGCAUUAUGAACAACCAAGUUCUUCGAGAAAUUGAGAUGAAGAAGUUCAAUCGACAAUAAUUUGACAAGUCAAAGAAUCAAAACAAAAAUAAACUGAUAUGAUUCGGUCGAGGAACAUUUUACACGCAGAAAUAAACUCUCAAUCAUAACAUGUUAAAAUUACAAUGACUAAAUGACCCACCAUGUAACUCAUACACAUAUUACAAAUCUUAGGCAUAGAUCGACAAAACGAUGAGAAUAGAAAGAUUUUUUAGUGAAACACGAUACACAAAGACGGAAGUCUCCAUUUGGAAUCACUUAGAUGAAUCUAGAUUUUGUUUGUUUGCUUCCAUCAACUUGGUGAUAGAUAUAAUUUUAUUUAUAAUUGAGUAAUGAUAAUAUAAUACUUUUACAUUCAUUAUUUUUCUUUCACUAAACACGUAUGAUAUUUUAUAUUUUUUCAAUCUCUAUCAGACCAUUUAAUUAUUUGAUUCAAACUCUUCAUCAUACAAUCAUCACAUAAUUUUAUAUUUUAUAUAGCUAUGGCAUUACACACUUCUCCCACGCUGAUAUUUAAGAUUUGACAGACUUGGUGUGAAGGAAAUGAUCAUCCGUGGAAUUUUUGGAACUGCUGAAUCUAUAAUUGGAUUUAUUCCUACCAUACUACCGCACCCAAUAGAAAGGAUAACAUACGUUUAAGAACUUAAAAAUGUAAUAGAAAAAUGAGUUAUCAAAACGAAAAUAAACUAAACUCAGAAGAAGUGAAAUGCAAAUGGAACUGCACCUGUGAAUUUGCUGUACACGUACAUUAGGGUUUUGAAAAAAUUGUUGUAGAAUUGACACGUACAAAAGAUUUAUGCAAUAAAUGACACCUGUGAAGUGUAAGGAUACUUCAUGAGAGAAGGUUAAUAAUAGCUAAUAGAUUAGAAUCAACACAUUUGAAAUGUAUAAAAUUAUAGGGCAAGUUAUGCAGAGAAUAAAAUGUAUAUCAGUUUUCAAUUAAUAAGUAGUAUCAUCAGAUCAGAGAAUCACGAGACAUAACCACCUGCAUCAGUUUUCUUUUCUCUUCUAUUUUUCUGUUUGGUCCAAGCAACAAGAAAGAAACCAUGCAUGUGGUACAAGUUUUCAGUAUAGCACCAACUUUGGAAUCAGAAGAAUUACCAACUCAAACAUCGCUUCCCCUCACCUUCUUUGAAAUACUGUGGUUAAGGUCACCUCCUAUUCAACGCAUCCUCUUCUACCAAUUCUCUCACCCAACCCCACCCUUCUUCCAUACCCUUCUUCCCAAACUCAUACACUCUCUUUCUCUUGCACUCGGCCACUUUUUUCCUCUUGCAGGCCACCUCACUUGGCCCCUUCACUCCCAGAACCCCAUGAUCAUUUACAAAACGGGUGACUCUGUUUCUCUCACAGCAGCUGAAUCUGAGGCUGAUUUCAACCAUCUAGCGGGCUCAAAUCUUUGGAAAACUGAAGAAAUGCACCAUCUUUUACCUCACUUGACCAUAUCACAUGAACAGGCUAAGCUUUUAGCCUUGCAAAUCACUCUGUUUCCAAACUCUGGAUUUUCCAUUGGAAUAACCUCACACCGUGCUGUUCUUGAUGCCAAGACUUCAACAUCGUUUAUCAAGUCCUGGGCUUAUCUUUGUAGAGAAUCACGCGCACCCCCUUGUUUGCCACCUGAACUAUGUCCUUUCUAUGAAAGGGUACUACUAGUAAAAGACCCCAACCAAAUAGGGGGGAAAUUCCUCAAUGAUUGGUUAAUGCAGGGAGGAUCCAACAACAGAAGCCUCAU
rnacentral:lncRNA from 1 species